rnacentral:rRNA from 1 species
GUAGGAGGCAAACGUUAUCCGGAUUUACUGGGCGUAAAGCGCGUGUAGGUGGUUUGGUAAGUAGGGCGUGAAAGCUCCUGGCUCAACUGGGAGAGGACGUUCUAAACUGCCAAGCUUGAGGAUGGUAGAGGGAGGUGGAAUUCCGGGUGUAGCGGUGGAAUGCGCAGAUAUCCGGAGGAACACCAGUGGCGAAGGCGGCCUCCUGGACCACUCCUGACACUCAGACGCGAAAGCUAGGGUAGCAAACGGGAUUAGAGACCCCGGUAGUCCUAGCCCUAAACGAUGUAGACUUGGCGUCGGUGGUUUAAUCGCCAUCGGUGUCGUAGCUAACGCGUUAAGUCUACCGCCUAGGGACUACGGCCGCAAGGUUA